GGCGCUGGGUUCCGCUCCCGGGAUGGAACAAGAGCGUGCCGGGCGCUGGAGUACUCGCGGCUGACCGAACGCGCCGCGCUCGCCUCGCCUCGCCUCGCCUCGCCGCGCCCCCCUCAGCCCGAGCCUCCCGGGUGGAACGCGCCUCCCGGCUCCCACCGCAGCCCGCCGGGCGGAGGAGGAGCCGUUUGCGCCAGUGCCGUCGGCCAGUCUACUCUCCCGCCGCCCGCGCCGGGAACGGCUCCAGGGUACCAUGAUCUGCAAGACUCUCUUCGCCUUUUGCAUCUUCACGGCAGACUGAAAGAAAUGACGAGAAACAUUGGAGUUUGAAAAGCAAUCCCCACCGACAUCUGAGAACAUCCCCAGCCUCUCCAGGGACAUCGAAGCAAGGAAAGCAGAUGAGCCAACUGGGCUUUGAACCUGUGGCGCCCAAGAGGGAGAGGGCCACGUCUGGCGAAGCAGCUUGCUGUCCUUGGCAAGUCAAGCUACCUGAUUUAGACGCUACCAACUCCACUGCGCCUGGCCUGGGCACUUCAUAGACCCCCUCUCCAAAGGUGCCAUGGGCUUCUGCUUAUGAUUUUACUUGGUUCUUGAUGCAGAAACCUGUGAUAGAGCUGGAAAAUUUUGUCUGAAGCUCUCAGGCCCACUAGCUACAAUAAGUUCCUCUAGAAAUUAGCAGGAAGAGAACAUUCACCAUUCAAGCAAGAAAUACUUGAGGCCCUCUUGAGAUGGUGUGAGAACAGCUGGGCGUUCUAGAGAAAAGCCCAAUCAGUUCUGGGUUUCUGAGAAGGCACAGAAAACUCAAACCAGAGAGACGAGUUUUAUUAGCAUAUUCCAGUUAAUACUCCAUUGUCUUUGAGAGAAAAAUUGGCAUCAUUUAUCUUAUUUCUUAGAUUUCCAUACACUAGCAGCUUGGAUUUGAAACGGUGCCUGUGUUCUUUUGCUAAGUACUUAUGGCAAAAUUUGUAGCAACUCAAAUUCGACCUAAGUUUGGCUCCUAAUUUCUAAAAAAAAAGUUGCUUUUUUGAAAUUACACAUUGAGCAAUGUGUAGUUGGGACCUUACUGUAAGUUCAACAGUUCUACUUGCUCAUUUUCUUUUCACUUGUGAUGCUGAUUGUACAUUCUAGUAUCUUCUUUAAAGAGCACCAACCAGUCCCACACCUGCAGGAGAGCAAUUUCCGCUGGUUGUAAUGAGAGUGGGAAAAUUACAGGCCCCAAAUAUCCAUCUGCAAUUGAAAUGUUGGCCUUCAUCACUCAGGCUCCAAAAUGUGCAAAUCAUAAUGUGUAUGUGUUUUGUUGGUUUUAUUUUUAUAAAAAUGCAUCUUUCUUUGCAUGAAACUUAAGCAACACUUGAUUUUUUUCUUUUGGACAAGGAAUUUGGUAGACCAUAGGCAAUUAGCUUAUGAUUAACAAAAACCUGAUUAACAGAUCAAAAUUCAUCUCAGAGUUUAGGCUUUAAGCCCUGGUAGAUAAAGUUCCCUU
rnacentral:lncRNA from 1 species